rnacentral:rRNA from 1 species
GAUGAACGCUGGCGGCGUGCCUAAUACAUGCAAGUCGAGCGAACAGACGAGGAGCUUGCUCCUCUGACGUUAGCGGCGGACGGGUGAGUAACACGUGGAUAACCUACCUAUAAGACUGGGAUAACUUCGGGAAACCGGAGCUAAUACCGGAUAAUAUAUUGAACCGCAUGGUUCAAUAGUGAAAGACGGUUUCGCUGUCACUUAUAGAUGGAUCCGCGCCGCAUUAGCUAGUUGGUAAGGUAACGGCUUACCAAGGCAACGAUGCGUAGCCGACCUGAGAGGGUGAUCGGCCACCCGGGAACUGAGACACGGUCCAGACUCCUACGGGAGGCAGCAGUAGGGAAUCUUCGGCAAUGGGCGAAAGCUUGACGGAGCAACGCCGCGUGAGUGAUGAAGGUCUUCGGAUCGUAAAACUCUGUUAUUAGGGAAGAACAAAUGUGUAAGUAACUAUGCACGUCUUGACGGUACCUAAUCAGAAAGCCACGGCUAACUACGUG